ACAUAGUUAACAGUUUCAUUCGCUGUUGCUGUCAGCCAGUUGUGCUGGUGUCGACUAAAACUGGAUAUUAAAGUCUAAUUUCAUUAUUUAUAACGCGUUCCUGACACCUAAAGCAGUUUGAUAAAUUCGUCGUUAAUGAGGGCAGACUCAGAAAAGUCUUUCGUCUUUCAUGACUGUCGGUUAGUUUUGGGACUUUAUUCGUAAAGAAAAUGAAACGCUGUUUGUGUUUCAUCUUCAUUCAUUCCUGUCUGCUUUUGCCAUCGGACAGGAGAGCUGUCUCAUUCAGCUGAAGGAAAGACUUCAGUGACUUCAGAUUGAACAUGUCCAACUAUUCAACGUUACUGCCCAAAGCUGAACCCAUCGACCCAACUGAAGCGUCUGUGAACACUGUGCACACCUCAACAGAGAGCAAACGGCUGAUUUCUGUUUCGACAGGUGUUACUCCUAGUAAGCCAACAGCAGGUCCUCGGUUCCAUGCGGGUAGUUUCAUUGGCGGUAUGAUGCUGGCCUUUAUAAUCACACUGGUCAUCAGUCUGGGCUACAGAUUGGCUUGUUCACAACGGGAAGUGCGCUACAGA